ensembl:snoRNA SNORA65 small nucleolar RNA, H/ACA box 65
CCCGCCACUGUGCUAGUCUGUAAAUUGACUGUGUACUGUCCAGAGGAGGCUAAUAAUAACCCAGCUCUAGGAAGCAGGACUAAUCAACUUAGUGGUUAACCCUGUGCCAAAAAGACUGGAACAUGC